rnacentral:rRNA from 1 species
UCCUGACCUCGGAUCAGACGUGAUUACCCGCUGAA